rnacentral:rRNA from 1 species
AGCGUAGGCGGAUGAUUAAGUGGGAUGUGAAAUACCCGGGCUCAACUUGGGUGCUGCAUUCCAAACUGGUUAUCUAGAGUGCAGGAGAGGAGAGUGGAAUUCCUAGUGUAGCGGUGAAAUGCGUAGAGAUUAGGAAGAACACCAGUGGCGAAGGCGACUCUCUGGACUGUAACUGACGCUGAGGCUGAAAGCGUGGGGGAGCAAACA